rnacentral:rRNA from 1 species
GACGUAGGGCGCGAGCGUUGUCCGGAUUUAUUGGGCGUAAAGAGCUCGUAGGCGGCUUGUUGCGUCGACUGUGAAAACCCGCGGCUUAACUGCGGGCUUGCAGUUGAUACGGGCAGGCUAGAGUUCGGUAGGGGAGAUUGGAAUUCCUGGUGUAGCGGUGAAAUGCGCAGAUAUCAGGAGGAACACCGGUGGCGAAGGCGGGUCUCUGGGCCGAUACUGACGCUGAGGAGCGAAAGCGUGGGGAGCGAACAGG